rnacentral:rRNA from 1 species
GGGGUUAAAAUUAAUAAUUAGUGUUGAUUUAAUAAAAGAAAUUUUAAUAUUAAAAUAUUUAAUGGGGGUUAAAGUAUUUUUAAUAGAAAAAAUUUGAAAUUUUAUAGUUAAUAAGUAUUGUGAAAGAAAUUUGAAAUAAAUUUAAAAUAAAUUUUUUUAAAAGUAAAUUUGAUUUAUUGUAUCUUGUGUAUCAGAGUUUAUUAAAAAUUUUUUAAAUUUUAAAUUUCUCGAAUUUAAAAGAGUUAAUUAAUUAUUAAAUUUAUUGUUUCAUAAAUAUUUUAAAUAAUUAAUUGGAAAUGAAAUGUUAUUCGUUUUUAAAUAUAUCUAGUUUUUUAAGAAAAAAAUUUAAUUUUUAAUUAAUUUUAAAAAUUAAUUAAUUAAAAUUAAUUAAUUUUUAAAAUUUAAUUUAAUAUUUUAAGGGAUAAGCUUUAAAUUAAAUUUUUAUAAUUUAUUUAUUUAUAAAUUUGAAAAUUUUAUAAUUUAUAUUGUUAAUAAAUUUUAAUUUAUUAUAAAUAAUUUCAUUAAAUUUAAAAAUUUAAUUAAUAAUUUAAUAUUUUAUUAAAAAAUAUUUUAUAAUAAAUUAUAUUUAGUUAUAAUGAUAAAAUUAGUAUAUAAUAUAAUUAUGAUAUUAAAAUUUAUAUUUAUGAUAAUUAUUUUAAAGGAAUUCGACAAAAUUUUAUAUUCACCUGUUUAUCAAAAACAUGUCUUUUUGUGAAUAAUUUAAAGUCUAAUCUGCCCACUGAUUUUUAAUUAAAGGGCUGCAGUAUAUUGACUGUACAAAGGUAGCAUAAUCAAUAGUCUCUUAAUUGGUGACUUGUAUGAAGGAUUGGAUGAAAUAUAGAUUGUCUCUAAUAUAUAUAUUUGAAUUUAAUUUUUUAUUUAAAAAGUUAAAAUAAUUUAAAAAGACGAGAAGACCCUAUAGAGUUUUAUAUUUAUUUAAUUUUAGGUUAUAUUUUAAUUUAAUUUAAACUUAAAUUUAAUUAAUUAUUUUGUUGGGGUGAUAAAAAAAUAAAUAAAACUUUUUUUUAAUUUAAUCAUUGAUUUAUGAAUUAUUGAUCCAAUUAUUAUUGAUUAUAAGAAAAAAUUACCUUAGGGAUAACAGCGUAAUUUUUUUUUUUAGUACUUAUAAGAAAAAGAGUUUGCGACCUCGAUGUUGGAUUAAGAUAAAAUUUAAAUGCAAAAGUUUAAAAUUUUUGAUCUGUUCGAUCAUUAAAAUCUUACAUGAUCUGAGUUCAAACCGGUGUAAGCCAGGUUGGUUUCUAUCUUUUAAAAAUUUUUAAUAUUUUAGUACGAAAGGAUUAAAUAUUAUAAUUAAAUUAAUUGUUUUUGAAUUUUAUUAAUAAUUUAAUAUAUUUAUUA